GACGAACGCUGGCGGCGUGCUUAACACAUGCAAGUCGAACGGUAAGGCCCUUCGGGGUACACGAGUGGCGAACGGGUGAGUAACACGUGGGUGAUCUGCCCUGCACUUCGGGAUAAGCCUGGGAAACUGGGUCUAAUACCGGAUAGGACCACUGCCUGCAUGGGUGGUGGUGGAAAGCUUUUGCGGUGUGGGAUGGGCCCGCGGCCUAUCAGCUUGUUGGUGGGGUAAUGGCCUACCAAGGCGACGACGGGUAGCCGGCCUGAGAGGGUGACCGGCCACACUGGGGCUGAGAUACGGCCCAGACUCCUACGGGAGGCAGCAGUGGGGAAUAUUGCGCAGUGGGCGCAAGCCUGAUGCAGCGACGCCGCGUGAGGGAUGACGGCCUUCGGGUUGUAAACCUCUUUCAGCACCGACGAAGCGCAAGUGACGGUAGGUGCAGAAGAAGGACCGGCCAACUACGUGCCAGCCGCCGCGGUAA
rnacentral:rRNA from 1 species